rnacentral:lncRNA from 1 species
CUCUUCCAAAGAAGCUGGUCCUUAGCCUGUAUUGCGGAGCAAGCUUUCGGCGACCAGCUGGACCCUGGGCACCCUUCUUCGAACAAUGGCUUUUAAUUCUCAGACUAGAACGUUUAGGAUUACAAAAGAAACUGGUUCUUUUCACAUUCUUAUUCUUGUGAUGUAGCAUUCCGCAUAUAUAUAUAUAUAUAUAUAUAUAUAUAUAUAUAUAUGUAUCCAACUAUCCUAAAAGACACUACCCUUCAUCAUUCCAUGCCAUUAGACAUGUAUAGGACCAUGCAUGGUGAUCUCCUCCAGACAAAAGUAAAUGCUGGUGCAGAACAGAACUACAAGUUUAGAGGACAUGGAUUUCAGUGCCCUCAUCUGGCCAACCAUCUUCAGCUGCCAAUGGGCAAGGAGAGAGUGCCUGACCUGAGCUGGGCCCAUCAGAUCCAGUACUUACCUGGAAUACGAAAAAGAUGGAGAGAGUGACCAAAGAUUACAAAAAUCUCUGAAGCUUAUCUACUUGAGAGAGAGUCCCUGAAGAUACUGGCCUCUCAUUCCUGCUAUGUAUAUCCAAUGUGACUGAACUCUGAAUAAAAUAUACAAGUUAUAACAAUGUAGCAAUUGACCCAGCAAACGAGGACACAAACGUGUUGGAGGGAUUUGAGUUUGAUGUCUUGCAUACAAUGUGAUCCCACUGUAUGACUACACAAAUGUUGGCAAAAGUGAGUUCAGAGGAAAUGGUAGGCAAGUACUUCCCAGUUUUGGCCAGAAGAUGGAGAAAAAAGAAUUCUCAAAAAAUGUUAAAGGUAUGACCUGUUAUAUCUUCUUUUCACAGUAAUUUAGACAGAAAUUAGCAAAAUCAAACAUGUAUAAAUACUUUGGUCUGACAAUUCCAUCUCCAGGUGUCUACAGAGAAAUAGACAAGUGAUGCACGACAGAUACAUGUGUCAGUCUGGUCCCUGCAGUUGUAUUUGUAAUAAUACACAUUGGAGCAAUUUCAUGGCCAUCGGUUAGAGAAUGUUUGAGGAAUGAUCCAUUCAUAUCAAGAAGGACAUUUCAAAGAUCAAAACCUGAUGGAAAUGCUGGAGACCAUGGCGCUGAUAGGAGCUCAUGCGUGUGGACCAAUUACUACGUGACAGGCAUUGGCUCCAUGCUUUUCCUGCACUGCUCAUUUAAACACUGGACAACCUAAGUGUUCUGAUUUAUCCCAUUGGACAGAUAGAAAUGGAGGCACAGAAGAUUAAUGUGUUUAACUUCAAACCCUGGCAGAUUAGGUUUUUCAUCCAGAGCCUGUGGCUUCACCAUAGCUGUGAUUCACGUUCUGUCAUUCUCCACUUUAGGAAUUUCCAGUAUUCCAAAUAUGAGAAGCUGAGAAAACAAACAACAAACUCAAAACCCUAAAAACCGGAUACGUAAGGGUAGAUGUUUGUUGGGUGUGGAUUAAAAAUGGACUUUUUUUGCCCCAAGCAACAAAGAGGCACCUUAGAAAAUAGACAAGAGACAAGAAGAAGAGAAGCUUUAAGAGAUAUUUGGUCCAAGGAAGAGACUCUUCAGAUGGAAGGUCACGUCAGCUAGAAACAUUAAUAUGACUGGAUGGGCUCAAACCACUGACUUUUCAGUCAACAUCUGACAGCACUAACCCAGUGUUCCAGAGACACUGCUUGUUAAACAGUGAAUGCUGUUGCUCAAUUGUGUCAUCCGUAAUUGUCAAAUAUUGGCAUUUAGUAGCACAAGGAAGUAUUCUCCGUUGCCAAGCUAGAGCACCCAUAACUCUUCUGUUUUGUUGAACAUUGUUCCCCACCACAAACCCUCUUUAGAAGACUGGGGGCUCCUAAAGCAUUGAGGCCGAGAGUCCCGUCCUUGUGCAUGUUUGGGCAUUGACCCAGGGCCAAGUCAGUGGGAGACUCCUCCACGCCUACGCCAGGUCCCCAGGUGACAACUGCAGUCUCUGGAUCUGAAGUCAUCCACUUUCCCAUUCCUAGCUCACCUCACCCAUCGUGAAGCCUGGUUAGUAUUGCCAGAGACCCGAGUGGGCAGAUGCCCACACCAAAGACAGAACCUGCUGCGUGCCCACCUUGCUGAUCCCUCCCUCCUUCUAGACAAAGGCUUCAUAAGCCAGGGACCUUGGGUUUGCUCACAAGGCAGCCCCUCACCUAGUAGGCAUUAGUUCAUUAUGUAUAUGUAUAUGUAGUCCUCAGGUUGUAUUCCUUAAAUAUAUAUAGUUUAAGGAUAUGUAUUAUAUAUAUAUAAAUAUAUAUGUAAUUCCUUAAAUAUAUAAUUUUAAUACAAUUUUUUUUUUUGAGAUGGAGUCUCACUCUGUCUCCCAGGCUGGAGUGCAGUGGCACCAUCUUGGCUCACUGCAAGCUCCACCUCCCAGGUUCACGCCAUUCUCCUGCCUCAGCCUCCCAAGUACCUGGGACUACAGGCGCCCGCCACCACGCCAGGCUAAUUUUUUUUUUUUUUUGUAUUUUUAGUAGAGAUGGGGUUUCACCAUGUUAGCCAGGAUGGUCUCGAUCUUCUGACCUCAUGAUCCACCCACCUCGGCCUCCCAAAGUGCUAGGAUUACAGGCGUGGACCACCGCGCCUGGCCAAAACAAAGUUUUUAAAAGAUUCCUUUAAUAAACAUUUACAAUAACAUCAAGAAAUAUAAACGACAUAGCAAAUAUGUGAAAGCCAGCCAGACUCUCAAUGGCAUCCAGAAACAUAAACUACAUAGAAAAGACAUGAAAGCCAGCCAGGCUUGGCUUCGAAUCCCAGCACUUUGGAAGGCUGUGGCAGGAGGGUUGCUUGAUCUCAGAAGCUUGAAAUUAGCCUAGGCAACAUAGUGAGCCCUCAUCUCUACUGAAAAUCAGAAAAAUUACCCGGGUUUGGUGGUGUGAGCCUGUAGUCCCAGGAAUCAGUGGAUGAGGCCCUAGGAUGUCAUAGGCCUGAGAAUUCCAUGCUGCAGUGAGCUGUGAUUGUGCCACUGUACUCCAGCCUGGGUGAAAGAGUGAGAUCCUGUGCAGAAACAAAAGAAGAAAAAAAGAGAUAUGAAAGCCUAUAUAUUGAAGACUACCAAGUACUGCUUAGAGCAGUUAAAGACCUUUGGAAUAGAAAAUGUUUCUUCUUGCAUUUCAAGAUUGCUUUUGUUUUGGGGGGACACACUAUUUUUUAGGAAUAUGAAGUUCUUCUUAGGCAUUCCUGUAAAAAAGGCCACUUCUUGAUAGGAUUGUAUUGAAUCUGUGGGUUGCUUUGAGUUGUAUUUUUAUCUUAACCAUGUUACAACUUCCAACCCAUGGACACAAGAUGUCUGUCCAUUGAUUUAGGUCUUCCUGAAUCUCCUCGAGCAAUGUUCUGUAGUUGUCUGUG